rnacentral:rRNA from 1 species
GCAGUCGCCGCGGUAAUACGGAGGAUCCAAGCGUUAUCCGGAAUCAUUGGGUUUAAAGGGUCCGUAGGCGGUCUUGUAAGUCAGUGGUGAAAGCCCAUCGCUCAACGGUGGAACGGCCAUUGAUACUGCAGGACUUGAAUUAUUGGGAAGUAACUAGAAUAUGUAGUGUAGCGGUGAAAUGCUUAGAGAUUACAUGGAAUACCAAUUGCGAAGGCAGGUUACUACCAAUUGAUUGACGCUGAUGGACGAAAGCGUGGGUAGCGAACAGGAUUAGAUACCCCAGUAGUCCCUGUCUCUUAUAC